rnacentral:miRNA from 1 species
AUCCUAUGUGCUGUGGCUUA